GUCUAUGUAGUAUAUUAAUUACACUGGUCUUGUAAGCCAGAAAAGGGAGAGAACCCCCUCCCCAAAGACUC
rnacentral:tRNA from 1 species